CCUACGGGAGGCAGCAGUGAGGAAUAUUGGUCAAUGGGCGCGAGCCUGAACCAGCCAAGUCGCGUGAGGGAAGACGGUCCUAUGGAUUGUAAACCUCUUUUGUCGGGGAGUAACAGACGCCACGCGUGGCGUUCCGCGAGUACCCUAAGAAUAAGGAUCGGCUAACUCCGUGCCGGCAGCCGCGGUAAUACGGAGGAUGCGAGCGUUAUCCGGAUUUGUUGGGUUUAAGGGGUGCGCAGGCGGACGAUCAAGUCGGCGGUAAAAGUGAGCGGCUAAACCUCGUCGAGCCGUUGAAACUGGUGUUCUUGAGUGAGCGAGAAGUAGGCGGAAUGCGUGGUGUAGCGGUGAAAUGCAUAGAUAUCACGCAGAACUCCGAUUGCGAAGGCAGCAUACCGGAGCGCAACUGACGCUCAUGCACGAAAGUGUGGGUAUCGAACAGGAUUAGAUACCCGAGUAGUC
rnacentral:rRNA from 1 species